GCUGUGGACAAAUGCAGCGGGUCAAAGAAGAAACCCCAACGCUCUAAGGCUUCCCAUGGCGCUACUUCGCAGACCUUAGUUAGGACAGUUUAGUUCAUAUACAGAGUGUGUUUUGAUCAUAAAAAUCGUAAGGAUUCACUCCCCAGACUCUUAGCUUUUCCUACAAUCUUUUCUCAGGCCCUUUCUGUCCCCAGAGUCCAAUGUGCCAGGCCCCUGUACUGAGUCCUCUCCUUUCUGGCCUGUCCUUCUCCUGGUGGCCACCAGAGGGUAGCAAAGGCACAAGGAAGAGAGGGAGAGGGCGGAGGAAAGAAGGAGCCUAGCUCUGGUUGCCACAGAAACGGCGCAGGCCCCAACGACUCCCAGACCCAGGCCCGGAUAUCCUCAGUCCAUUCCCCAUAAUACCCCAGGCCGAGGAAUGGAAAGCGGAGAGACCCCUGCCUUGGAAAACAAACCCUCUCAUCGGUUCUCCCAGCAUGCCUUCUUGCUGCAGCAGGUCCACCCCCCCAGGCCAGUCCGACAGGACUUGCCCUCAUACACGCAUAGGAGUUUCUGGGACAGAGAAGCAGAUACUGGGUCCCCAGCAACCCCACCUGCCUGUUGGUCCCCAUCUAAAUGCUGACCUGGACCUCAAUGCCAAAGUGUGCAGGAGCUGAAACAUCGUCACCGUUCUUCUACAGGGCUUACCCCCUAACCCGGUUACUUCGUCCCUCCCGGCCUGCAACACCGCAUCCCAAAUCUCCUACAGCGCCCCGGCUUCCCAGGCCUGCGGAACUCAGCCUUCAGUGUCUGCCGGGCACAGGACAGGAGGUGGGGGAGCGGGGAAGGAGCAAACGUCUCCUCCUGGGGCAAUUAGGGGCAGGUAAACAGGGUGUCUAACAAGACCUGGGAGAAGGGAAAGGCUCCCAAGAGAUCCUGAAGUUGUCAAACCCUUAUCCUCGGCUUUAGAAGCCAAGAUGCGGAGUUAAGAGAGCGGAGGAAAAAUGCAGAGACCAGGUUCUUUCCCUCUGGUGCGCGCCCCCGAGGCCGCGCGCCGCCCGUUCCAGCAGGCGAGGCCCAACCACGUGCGCGCGGCGUGGAGUCCGCGCGCGGGGCUGCGGGCCGGGGGUGGGCAGCGGCGGCGGGAACGCUCCUAGGGCGGCGCGUGCACACCGACACCCCCGCGCCCCGCCAGCUCCGGCCUGGUGGAGCGGCGGCGCGCCGGUCACCCCCGCCCCUCGACCCUGCGACAGCAGCGACAGUAGCGGCGGCGAAGGUUUAUUGAUCUGCAGCGGCGGAGAAGAGCGAGGACCCGCCGAAAGCGAGACACACGGAGAUGGAAAGACUCUGCCACGCACAGAGGGGAGGCGAACACACAGGCGGAUUCGCCCGAGAGGGGAAAGGGAGGGAGCCAGAGCCAAACAGGGGGAGCCAGACACCGGGAGAGGGAGGAAGGGAAUGAGAACCGAGCAAGGCUCGGCUUCGGAUCCGGAGAGGCCCGCAGCACAGGCACAAGGUGGGAAGGAAAUCGGGACACGCCGGCGACCGGACGAACACAGACCUCCACGGGCGUAGUAGAGAUCUCAAUAAAUAUGUGUUGAAUGAA